rnacentral:rRNA from 1 species
CAGCCCUGGUUGAGGGCACGAAGGUACGUCGAAGGAGGAGGCAGGCAGGAGUAACGAAAGUUGUAAAAGGAAUGAUGAAAAGGAGGGCGGGCUAUUCUUACCCUCACCGUGCGUUUGUGGAGUUGAAUUAAUUAAUCUCUUGGGCAAGUGGGAUGGACGCGGAUGCGACUUCGAAUAUUGCCACUUGCGACGUGUCAUCGAUCGCCCCAUAGUGAUCACCACAUCGUGACGACAUCAACGUACCGUAGAAGCCCGUCGCGCCCCUCUCUGCACGGCCGCCGCUCCCGCCACUUGCUGGACUAGCUCCGCGCGCUCCCCCGCUGCUCCGAGUUCCCGUACGACGUCCUCGUCAGCAGCCUCAACUGUCUCGACUACCUGCCCUACGAGUUGUUCGACAGGUCGCGAGACAGCCGCAACCUGUGGCCGACGUGCCGGCCUCGCAGGCGCAGGCCCAGCCGGCUACCCCACUAGUCCCGCUCCCGCCUCUCGAGCUGGCCCUCCUGCUCCUUUGCGUCGAAGUCGUCUUCUAAUCUUCCGAAGAGACCGUUCGCCCACUGACUGUGCGACCAACUACCAGUGUAUACCGCCUUUAUGCCCGUCUUUCUUUAGGUUUUGAGUUGAGUAGGCUCCAUGCAUGUGAACAAAACGCUACCUUUGACCUCCUUUAAUUUAGUACUCGAAGCAAUACCAAACUAGAAAGUCCUCGAUAAUGUCCACAUGCGUGUUUAGUCUGGUUCCGACGUUGCGGUUCUCCGUUCGGGUCUAGACGCUCUGGGUAGGUUAGUUCAUGCUGCAGUGCAUGAUGCCGCUCGUGUGGACGUUCGGAGGGAGGUUAUGGGGUUACUAGUAACGGCGACGCUCGCUGCUGGCGCGUCUUUUGGAGCAGUCAAAACGGGGCUGCAAAGGAGUCAACCCGGUCCGGUGAUGAGUCGACAGGAGGAGGACCACGUGGUCGCAACUGCUGCACAAGUCGAGGAGCAGGCUGGGCAAGCACGUCCGCGUGCUCGAGCGGCGGCAGCACCCUAGCCGGCCCUCCUGCAGGAGCUGCCACCCCAGCCACGGCCUGGUGUCGCCCUCACCCUAGCCGCUGUACCGCCCUCCGCCGGUCCCACCGCCGUGCCCGUCAAAGGGCAGCAGCGGCUCGUCGGAGCCCAAGCACCACCCGAGAGACCCGUCGUAGCCUUUACUGCUAAAAAAGGACAAGCUAGGUACUGUUCCCUAACUUAGGAAAAAAAGGCCACCAAGGUAGGUAGUGAAGUGAACGUACGUUCGUACGUACGUAACGUAUAUCGUAGGGCACGUACUACGCACGUACGCGUACUUAGAUUGGUCACACGUUGACAUGAAAAUCUAUUAUUGGUCACGUGUUGACUAUAAGACAUCUAAUGUUUUCCAACCAUUUCUAGUCGUAUACAUAUGCAUGCGGUUCGACACACAAACACGUCCUUAGACAAUAUCUAGCGGUUUAGCUCAUUACUAUUGUCGCGGUCAAAUGAGUUCUAUGAUCUAGGCCUGAUACAUCAAAGGUACUCGUCUAGGCUUCUUGUAUAUGACAUACUUAAUUUAUUUUUAUGCCGAACUUUACAACUACAUACUCCAUGUC